GUGGGGACAGGCUGGGCAUCGGUCAGCGUGCGAUACUCACCAAGGCUCACCUUGUCACAGGAAUUGCUUGUUGCUGAUGGAGAGAGAUGAAGCACUGGUGGCUGUUUUAUUCCAAGUACUCAGUGAUGCCAACCUACUGUUGGCUCGUCACGCUGAAUGGGCAGACCUGACAGCAGAUCUGGCAUUUGCACAAUUAUGGAUGUAAAGAAACGAGAAUGCUUGUCUGUAUCAACAAACCUCGGAGUCUAUUGUACAAUCACUUUAGCUUUUAGCAGCACAGAUGGAUGUAGAGCUGUUGGCUACUGCCAGAUACUCAAACAGAACCACGGAUUCUGCUGGAG